rnacentral:rRNA from 1 species
UGAGGAAUAUUGGUCAAUGGGCGAGAGCCUGAACCAGCCAUGCCGCGUGCAGGAUGACGGCUCUAUGAGUUGUAAACUGCUUUUGUAAAGGGGUAAAGGACAGUACGUGUACUGUGAUGAAAGUACUUUACGAAUAAGGAUCGGCUAACUCCGCGCCAGCAGCCGCGGUAAUACGAAGGGGGCAAGCGUUGUUCGGAAUUACUGGGCGUAAAGCGCACGCAGGCGGCGUGACGCGUCAGAAGUGAAAUCCCCGGGCUCAACCUGGGAACUGCUUUUGAAACGGUCAUGCUUGAAUCAUGGAGAGGGUAGCGGAAUUCCGAGUGUAGAGGUGAAAUUCGUAGAUAUUCGGAAGAACACCGGUGGCGAAGGCGGCUACCUGGCCAUGUAUUGACGCUCAGGUGCGAAAGCGUGGGGAGCAAACA